GAGUAUUAUGAUACUUAAG
rnacentral:snRNA from 1 species